GGAUUCUAUUGCUCUGGGGCGUGUGGCAGGGGGCAAGGGAAAGGGAAGAGACCUGUGCGUCCAAGCCCGCCCGGCCUCGGACCGUCUGCUCUUCAGGCGUGCAAGAAAUGCAACACUGCCGUCUCAGUACAGCCCCUUCAGCGUUGUACUAUUGCAUGUAAUGAAGCUGCAGAGUUGUGUUUAAACACACCAGGUACAGCCACCAUGGCCUGGGCUGCUCAGUCUGUUCUGAAGGCUUCCUGAAGACUCAGAGAAACAGAAGCCUGCAUCCCUGCAGCUCCUGCAUCAGUCUCUGUGAGCUCUACAGAAGGGAAUCCCUCAACUCUUUCAAAAGCCUAAUUCUGCUAUAGCUGGAAAGAUCCUCAAAAAGGCUUAAUAGCAAUCUCAGAUUAAGUUCUUCGAUUCUGUUUACUAGUGAAAUUAGAGAAAUACACCGCUUAUAUUAGUUAAUACCUAUAGCUACACUGGAAAAGGGUUAACUGCUCAGUUAAGCUAGAAAAUCAACACAUACAUUUGCUGGCCUCUGCUUUGUUCAGUGUAACUUUGAUCAAAAGCCUUGUCAUCCUGUUUUGGUGCCUUGGUGUUAAGUUUCAAUUUCAUA